rnacentral:rRNA from 1 species
AGAUAAUUUUACAACAAAAUAAUUCGCCAGAGGACUACUAGCAAUAGCUUAAAACUCAAAGGACUUGGCGGUGCUUUAUAUCCCUCUAGAGGAGCCUGUUCUAUAAUCGAUAAACCCCGAUAAACCUCACCACCCUUUGCUAAUUCAGUCUAUAUACCGCCAUCUUCAGCAAACAA